UACGGGGGGUGCAAGCGUUAUUCGGAAUCAUUGGGCGUAAAGGGCGCUUAGGCGGUCUUUUAAGUCAGAUGUGAAAGCCCUCGGCUUAACCGUGGAAGUGCAUUUGAUACUAAAAGACUUGAGUAUGGGAGAGGGAAGCGGAAUUCCUGGUGUAGCGGUGAAAUGCGUAGAUAUCAGGAGGAACACCGGUGGCUAAGGAGGCUUCCUGGACCAAUAAUGACGCUGAGGCGCGAAGGCGUGGGGAGCAAACAGG
rnacentral:rRNA from 1 species